rnacentral:rRNA from 1 species
AGGAUUAACGCUGGCGGCGUGCAUGAAACAUGCAAGUCGAGCGCGGUACGUGGCUUCGGUCACGUAUCUAGCGGCGCACGGGUGAGUAACACGUGAGCAACCUACCUUCGAGUUCGGGAUAGCCCUGGGAAACCAGGAUUAAUACCGGAUGUGGUCACAACGGGACAUCCCGAUGUGAAAAAAGGCGCAAGCCGCUCGAUGACGGGCUCGCGGCCUAUUAGCUUGUUGGUGGGGUAACGGCCUACCAAGGCGACGAUGGGUAGCUGGUCUGAGAGGACGAUCAGCCACACUGGGACUGAGACACGGCCCAGACUCCUACGGGAGGCAGCAGUUAGGAAUUUUCCGCAAUGGGCGAAAGCCUGACGGAGCAACGCCGCGUGUGUGAUGAAGGCCUUCGGGUUGUAAGCACUGUCGGAGGGGAAGAAGUGAAUGACGGUACCCUCCAAGAAGCCCCGGCGUAACUACGUGCCAGCAGCCGC